ACAGAGGUCCCAAGCGUUGUUCGGAUUCACUGGGCGUAAAGGGUGCGUAGGUGGCGGGGUAAGUCGGAUGUGAAAUCUCCGAGCUCAACUCGGAAACUGCAUUGGAAACUACCUUGCUCGAGGGUUGGAGGGGGGACUGGAAUACUUGGUGUAGCAGUGAAAUGCGUAGAUAUCAAGUGGAACACCAGUGGCGAAAGCGAGUCCCUAGACAACUCCUGACACUGAGGCACGAAAGCUAGGGGAGCAAACAGG
rnacentral:rRNA from 1 species